CCUACGGGAGGCAGCAGUAGGGAAUAUUGGACAAUGAGCGAAAGCUUGAUCCAGCCAUGCCGCGUGUGUGAAGAAGGCUUUCGGGUUGUAAAGCACUUUCAGUGAGGAGGAAAACCUUACGACUAAUACUCGUGAGGCUUGACGUUACUCACAGAAGAAGCACCGGCUAACUCCGUGCCAGCAGCCGCGGUAAU
rnacentral:rRNA from 1 species